UAGUAACUGCGAGUGAAGCGGGAAAAGCUCAAAUUUAAAAUCUGGCGGUCUUUGGCCGUCCGAGUUGUAAUCUAGAGAAGUGUUACCCGCGCUGGACCGUGUACAAGUCUCCUGGAAUGGAGCGUCAUAGAGGGUGAGAAUCCCGUCUUUGACACGGACUGCCAGGGCUUUGUGGUACGCUCUCAAAGAGUCGAGUUGUUUGGGAAUGCAGCUCAAAAUGGGUGGUAAAUUCCAUCUAAAGCUAAAUAUUGGCGAGAGACCGAUAGCGAACAAGUACCGUGAGGGAAAGAUGAAAAGAACUUUGGAAAGAGAGUUAAACAGUACGUGAAAUUGCUGAAAGGGAAACGCUUGAAGUCAGUCGCGUUGGCCGGGAAUCAACCUUGCUUUUGCUGGGCGUACUUUCCGGUCAACGGGUCAGCAUCAGUUUUGGCCGUCGGAUAAAGGCUGGAGGAAUGUGGCAUCUUCGGAUGUGUUAUAGCCUCUGGUCGCAUACGACGGCUGGGACUGAGGAACUCAGCACGCCGCAAGGCCGGGUACUUGUACCACGCUCGUGCUUAGGAUGCUGGCAUAAUGGCUUUAAUCGACCCGUCUUGAAACACGGACCAAGGAGUCUAACAUGCCUGCGAGUGUUUGGGUGGAAAACCCGAGCGCGUAAUGAAAGUGAAAGUUGAGAUCCCUGUCGUGGGGAGCAUCGACGCCCGGACCAGACGUUCUCUGACGGUUCCGCGGUAGAGCAUGUAUGUUGGGACGCGAAAGAUGGUGAACUAUGCCUGAAUAGGGUGAAGCCAGAGGAAACUCUGGUGGAGGCUCGUAGCGAUUCUGACGUGCAAAUCGAUCGUC
rnacentral:rRNA from 1 species